rnacentral:lncRNA from 1 species
GAGCAUCAGACUCACCGGGAGUCAGGGCUGGGUUUGUACCUCCCCCUCCUUCCCAUACCUUUCCUUUCGUCUGAGCCUCAGGGAGCCCGUAAGACACAUUAUUGCCAAUUCCUCUUUAACAUUCCUAUUUAAGUAACUUCUAGCCAUAUAGAUUGUAUUUCUCUGCUCCCUUUAAGUCUGGCCCUAACUUGCCUUAUCUAGAUAAUGAAAUAUACGCAAUACGCUGAAGAGCCACUCUGGGUGGCAGCUUUGCAAGCCACUCUGUAGCAUUCCAGAGGCGGCUGCCCGGUCAGCCUGUGUCCUGGCAGAGUUCCCUCCUUCUCCAUGUAUGAGGAAGGAACCACGGUGCUUCAGGCUCUGGGUGGCUCGGCCUUGUUUGUUUCUGCAGAACAACCCUCUGCUUGAGUUGCCUUUGGCGUCUUUUAAGCGGUUGAAGUCUAGGAGGCAGGCCUAUGCCUGAUCUAACAAAGAGUGAGCUGGUCUCCAGUUCCAAUGGCUCUCCAAGGCUGGACAGCCAUUUGCUUCUUCUGGUGCCUGUAGUUACACAAGUAAGGCCAUGCAGACCUCCAUCCGGUGCCCUGGGAGCCCAUUAGAAUUGAACAUUCCCUUCUGGCCCAGUGCUGCCCUUGGUAGUCAGCUCCUUUGAACCUCUGAUCCUCUUCCCAUUACCCCUGCUCGCUCCCUCCAGUCUCUGGCAUCCUGACCUCUCUCUUCCAAACACUCUGAGCUUGCUCUCAUUUUAGGGCUUGUUGUUGUUGUUGUUAAUGCUCUCCCCACAUAGCUAACUGAACCUCAAUCCUCUCUUGUUAGAACUGGGGACGGAGCUCGGUUGGUAGAGUCCUCGUGAGACAGGCAGGAAGCCCUGGGCUUGAUCUCCUGUUAGUGGUGCCUUCCACAACCCCAGCACUUGGGAACUAGAAGCAGAAGGAUCAGAAAUUCAAAGUUGGUUCCUAAGUAGCAUACGACUUUAAUCCCAGUACUCAGGAGGCAAGAGGCACAUGGACCUUUGUGAGUUCAAGGCCACCUUGAUCUACAGAGAGAGUUCCAGGACAACCAGGACUACCUGGAGAAACCUUGUCUAGAAGGAAAAAGAAAAGUUCAGGGUCAUCCUUGGCUACCUGGUAAGUUUGAGGUUAGCCUGGGUUACAUGAGACUGUCUCCCUCACAUUAGGAUUCACCAAUCACCCCUUUUUUUUUCUUUCUUUCUACAAAUACUGACACCUUUGGCUUUAUAAAAUGUUUGGAUC